GACGAACGCUGGCGGCGUGCUUAACACAUGCAAGUCGAACGGAAAGGCCCUGCUUUUGUGGGGUGCUCGAGUGGCGAACGGGUGAGUAACACGUGAGUAACCUGCCCUUGACUUUGGGAUAACUUCAGGAAACUGGGGCUAAUACCGGAUAGGAGCUCCCGCUCCAGGGUGGGGGUUGGAAAGUUUCGGCGGUCGGGGAUGGACUCGCGGCUUAUCAGCUUGUUGGUGGGGUAGUGGCUUACCAAGGCUUUGACGGGUAGCCGGCCUGAGAGGGUGACCGGCCACAUUGGGACUAAGAUACGGCCCAGACUCCUACGGUAGGCAGCAGUGGGGAAUAUUGCACAAUGGGCGGAAGCCUGAUGCGGCAGCGCCGCGUGCGGGAUGACGGCCUUUGGGUUGUAAACCGCUUUCGCCUGUUACGAAGCGUUAGUGACGGUAAUGGGUAAAGAAGCACCGGCUAACUACGUG
rnacentral:rRNA from 1 species